rnacentral:lncRNA from 1 species
UGUGAAUCAACCUUUUUCUGUAUGUUUUUACAGUUUAAUAAUAAUUUGAGUUAUUGAAGGCUCCUUUUCAAGAAACAUAAUCAUUUAUAAUUUUAUUUUUAUCAUAUUAUCAUGUUAUAACAUUAAUUUUGAUUAUAUUUUUAAGAUAGCCUGACUUUUAUAAGACUAUAGUGAAAAUUUCUUUCCUACUUUUUCAAAUCACUUUUUUUCAAAGUAAACCUUCCAUUAACGCCGUAAGGAAAUUGAACUAUAUUCUUCUAACAAUGAAUUUUAAUCAUGUUUUUUUUUAGUGCAUCUAAAGUGUAUUGAGUUUUUCUAAGAUAUGGACCAGUAAUAAAAUGGAAUUAAUAAUGCAGACAUUGAAUAACUAGACAAUUGUUAGUAUUAUUAAGCCUUGUCUUUCUGUUUCUUUCAUGUCACUAGGUUGCUACAAUAAUUCCAGCUGUGUAUACCUCCUGGGAUCAUAAUAGAAAUGAACCUCUGAAGCAUCUUACUGAAGAAGGCCCCUACGUUGACUGUCCAGCUGACUGUCUCUACCCGACUGCUGUCCCACACAAUAUGGGCCAGGCGAUGGUAUUGCCUUUGCAAACUAAAUGAAGUUCCUCAAAGUGAAGCUGGUGGCGACUUCAGAGUUAACUUUUCAAAUGGCCGGGCUUAUAUAGAAUAACCUUUGUAAAAGUAAACUAUGAUCAUAUAAUAAGAUACAUGUGCAUUUGGAACGCCACUGCUUUUGGAACCUGUCUCAGUUUUUAUCAUCAUACAAGGUUAAUUGUCUAAUGUCAAUUAGAUUUUAUCACAGUGCAUUUGGGUCCUAAUCUGGAACAAUAAAAGUCUAUUAAACAGCAAA